AUGGCUCAGAAAAUGAACUCUUCCCUUGGCCUUACGAUUAUACUCUUCUUAGUGCUUGGAGAAAGCAAUGGAGACUCGGUUACUCAGACAGAAGGCCAAGUGACACUCUCUGAAGGGAGUUCUAUGACUGUGAAUUGUUCCUAUGAAACCAAACAGUACCCUUCCCUGUUCUGGUAUGUGCAGUAUCCUGGAGAAGGUCCACAGCUCCUCUUUAGAGCCUCAAAGGCCAACGACAAGGGAAGCAGCAGAGGGUUUGAAGCCACAUAUGAUAAAGGAACCACCUCCUUCCACUUGCAGAAAGCCUCAGUGCAAGAGUCAGACUCGGCUGUGUACUACUGUGCUCUGGGUGACACAGUGACAUUAACUGCAGGGGGAGCUGAGCACAAAAUCUGA